GCGGUGUUUAUCGGGAAAUCAUAUCAGCAAAUUGCAGAGAUUAGCCGAUCCACAGCACUAGGUCUAUUUAUAAGAGUUGUUUCACGAAACACUGGAAAGCAUUUCAAGCACCCAACCGGCUAAUUUUAAAACAUUAACAAACACUCCCACGUCACUGUUUAAUGAGUUUUAAAAAAAAAAAAAACACAGCAUUCACGGCUAACUGGAAGAUAUUUAUGUGUAUUUCUGAUAAUUGGCAAUAGUGCGGGCACAGGGCAUAGCUUACAUGGGUGGAAUCUCACCCUGAAAUCCCCUGGAUCUGGCCAUUAAGCACUCAAGUUCUUGGGGAUCAGAUCAAGGACUGUUACAUCGUGUCACAGUUGAAUCAUUGCCCAUUUUAUGGAAAAUAAAUAUUUCUCUGUUUAUCGCAUCGUGUGUUUAUUAAAAUGCCUUAGACAAAUAAAGCUAUCUGGCUGGAUGUUUUGAAUAUUUUGGUAGGUGUUGCUUGCGUAUGUGGCUCAUCCUCAUCCACCAGCUGGCCAAGAGAUACAAAAAUGAACUUGUUUUUCUUUGCCUUUGCCCAGCCCAUUGUUGAUAAUUAAUAAUUCGCUCAUCGAAAACAAUUGGCGGGGCGGGAUGUGUAAGCUUCUAUAUUUAGUCAUAGUCGUCUCGUCUUAUUAGCCAGUGCAGGUUUUUAUUCCACCGGACACAGGUGUACUGAGUACCCUUCAAAAUUGCACUCUACAGAGAUCCCCCCCACACACAACCUGAAUUGUUAUAUCGGAGAUGUGUUUUUUUGGCAUGUUUUUGUUUGCAGUUAUUAGUAAUUAUCUCACUCGACAGCACCUUCAGUGGUUCGACCAAAUUAGGCGGUUUGUCAAUCAUUAUUCGCAUUCAUCAUCACUCCAUCGCCAAAAAGCGAGUGAUCGUCUUUCCCUCCCCCCCUAGACAGAGUGCAAUUGAUUAUGAAACAAAGCGAGAUCAGAUCGUUUCAAGGCUGUUCCGUAAGUCGUAACAUAUUGGUUGGGAGAACAAGGCCCUCAAGCAUCAGUUCGCGAGACCUAGCCCAAUCUUCACCUCUCGCAAUCGGCUAAGACUGUUUGGUUCAUGUAUUAAGCAGCUGGCGCUACAACCAGUUGGGAAUUAUAGAGGCAUGGGGUUGAUAUCUCGCUAUCAGUACGCUUGUACUCCCAACAGAACCUUAACAGGGCUAUGUUAGGCUCCACUGUUAAGCGCCACUAUCGCUGAGUGGACGAUUUUUAAUGGGCGCUCUUCUUGGCGCUGAUUUAUGGGCCAACGCCGGCUGGCUGUGGUCGGUCUUGUGUUUAUACCCGCUUUGUUUGCCGUUUAAUUUUCGCUUUGUGGUGUGUUAGCACUUAACUUAAAUGCCUUCCCAUCAAGUUUCUAUAUUGUUGCAGCGAAGGGUACCAAAAUAAACCCAGGGGUCAUAAAACAUUUACUCCCCCAACUGCUAAUGACGUCAAUUAUGGGGUCUGAGAAGUUUCACCCCCCUAAGGAUCUACCUACCUUCCAGCUAUUAUAGUUUUUGGAGUUCAAUUCCCCCCUUAACUGUAUGUGGGGCUAAAAACGGGAAAACAUGUGUUGAAUUGUACUUAUUAUUAAUUGCCUUGCAUGUGCCCCGGCGACAAAUGUUUUAAUUAUAUUGAGAGUAAAUGCGUU